AGUGGGAGCCUCUUAAUGGGGUGACUGCGUACCUUUUGUAUAAUGGGUCAGCGACUUAUAUUCUGUAGCAAGGUUAACCGAAUAGGGGAGCCGAAGGGAAACCGAGUCUUAACUGGGCGUUAAGUUGCAGGGUAUAGACCCGAAACCCGGUGAUCUAGCCAUGGGCAGGUUGAAGGUUGGGUAACACUAACUGGAGGACCGAACCGACUAAUGUUGAAAAAUUAGCGGAUGACUUGUGGCUGGGGGUGAAAGGCCAAUCAAACCGGGAGAUAGCUGGUUCUCCCCGAAAGCUAUUUAGGUAGCGCCUCGUGAAUUCAUCUCCGGGGGUAGAGCACUGUUUCGGCAAGGGGGUCAUCCCGACUUACCAACCCGAUGCAAACUGCGAAUACCGGAGAAUGUUAUCACGGGAGACACACGGCGGGUGCUAACGUCCGUCGUGAAGAGGGAAACAACCCAGACCGCCAGCUAAGGUCCCAAAGUCAUGGUUAAGUGGGAAACGAUGUGGGAAGGCCCAGACAGCCAGGAUGUUGGCUUAGAAGCAGCCAUCAUUUAAAGAAAGCGUAAUAGCUCACUGGUCGAGUCGGCCUGCGCGGAAGAUGUAACGGGGCUAAACCAUGCACCGAAGCUGCGGCAGCGACACUAUGUGUUGUUGGGUAGGGGAGCGUUCUGUAAGCCUGUGAAGGUGGCCUGUGAGGGUUGCUGGAGGUAUCAGAAGUGCGAAUGCUGACAUAAGUAACGAUAAAGCGGGUGAAAAGCCCGCUCGCCGGAAGACCAAGGGUUCCUGUCCAACGUUAAUCGGGGCAGGGUGAGUCGACCCCUAAGGCGAGGCCGAAAGGCGUAGUCGAUGGGAAACAGGUUAAUAUUCCUGUACUUGGUGUUACUGCGAAGGGGGGACGGAGAAGGCUAUGUUGGCCGGGCGACGGUUGUC
rnacentral:rRNA from 1 species